rnacentral:ncRNA from 2 species
CUACGGUUGGCGAGCCGUGGUGUUCGGGAAGACCGGUGCAAGACCGGAGCGGCCCUCGCCACUGUGAUCGGGUCCCCUGCCGUCCAUGCCAUGAACGGCUUCGGGUAGCCCGUCCCGCUGUGCCACUGGUGGCCGUGAGGCCGCUGGGAAGGCAGGGACGGCGCGCACCCCGGAAGCCAGGAGACCGGCCACGGCAUCUCGCUAAUG